UAGAAUCAUAGAGUUGGAAGAGACCCCCAAAAGGGCCCUGAUCCAGUCCAACCCCCUACUUCUGCCAUGCAGGAACUCUCAAUCACAGCAUCCCCAACAGAUGGCCAUCCAGUCUCUGUUUAAAGAUGCCCAUAGACUUCUCCCAUCAACUCCCUGCUCUCUUCUAGGCUGGAUCCUUUCCCUGGACAAAGAGGAAUGGCCACCGGCCACCCAACGCCACCCAGGACCGCUGCCAAGGAUGCUGCGGGAGAAACAGUACCGCUGUUGUCAAGCCUCCAGGGAGGAGAGAUGAAGGAAAGGGGUCCCAGACCUCUGGGGGCAGCUCCAUCCAGAGGCCUUGGAGGCCCGCCUUGGAGAGUGACAAGGUCCCAAACAAAUGGCCUUCCCAGAAAGGAGAGGAAAGCAGGUGGCCCUCUUUCUCCAUUGACCCCGUUGAGCCUUGGAGACAUCAGAGGGGCCCAUGAAGACCCAAAGGGCCAAGUGGACGGUGGCCACAAAUGGCCAGAGAACACGGAAAGUGACAUGCCUUGAAAGCUUGGAAUCUAAGUGCCGGUCAAUGUAGUUGGAUCCAGUGUGCAAAAAAGUCUUGUAUCUCAAGGCUGGAAAGAGAAAACAAUCACCACAGACUGGUCCAUACUCAGGAGAUCUCCCCACUUUUGCAACACAUGGACAUAGAUUUUAUAGAUGCUGGAUUUCAGAUUUUGAGAUAUGCUUAUAUUAAUAUGGAUGCCUAUCCCAUAUUCAUAUCCCAUGCAUUCCCUCCCAACACACAUUUUUCUCCCUUUUCUCUCCCCACUUUCUUGGUACAAUGGGCUCUCAUAUUCCGCCAGAGUUUCGUUCCAGGAGCCCCUGUGGAUACCAAAAUCCAUGGAUGCUCAAGUCCUGUUAAACACAAUGAGCCUGUUAAAAUAUAAAAGUAUAAAAAUAUUACAUUUCCAGUGGGCCAUUGGGGUUUGGUGACAGGAUCUCCCCUGGACAGCAAAAUCUGUGGAUGCUCAAGUCCCAUUCUAUACUGUACAAUGGAACAAUAAAAUGAUGUCCCUUCUAUCAAAUGGCUGCUGGAGAGGAGUAGCCAGGGUCCACUCAGGGUCCCUUGAGGAGAGAGGAAAGCAAAUAGAGAGUAGGGAAGGCUUUUAGUGGAGAAGUAAUAUCUGUAUCAUGAUCAUCAUCAUUAUUAAACUUAUUUGUAUCCCGCUCUUUUCCCAGAA